CAGAAUGUAGCUAAACUAGUAAAGCACCUCCCUUACACCGAGGAGAUAUCCGUGCAACUCAGAUCACUCUGA
rnacentral:tRNA from 1 species